UAUUCAUAAGUAAGCAACGAUAACGAGACUAAUACUGUUUGCUGAAAAUCGUACUACGAGCGCCUUUCGCCGUUUUACAUAUGCGCGUGCCAUCCAAUACGGAUUUCCAACUACCGUGUACCUUUUCUUUCGCUCUUUCUUCGAUGUUUUUGCCUCUCCGUCGGAAUGUCUGCUAUAUUUGCGAUUAUGGGGAGAAUUACCGUUCUGUAUUAUCCUCGCUAGGCCAAAAUCAGCCACGACUACAGUCUUAUCCUCGCGUACGAGACAAUUAUGCGAGUUCAAGUCUCGGUGAAUGAUAUUCAUGGAAUGUAAGUAAGCCAUACCAGCGGCUAUAUCUUUAGCAAAUAACGUUCGUUGCUCCCAAGGUAAGAUUUCAUUCGUAUCGUGAAGAAAAGCUCUUAGAGUUCCACCCGCUAUGUAUUCGGUGACUAAAUGAAGCUUUUUAUCUUUGUAUAGAACACCGAUGAAUCGGAGAACGUUAUUAUGAUGUAAAGAACGUAAUACCGCAACCUAUUAAAUUUGUAUAAAAUAUUAAUAUAGGGAAACUAGUAACAAUAAAAUGAUCGGCUUACCUCUUUCAAAAAAUUUUUUUGCGCCUCCUCGUCUACUCUGUACAACUCUUUUAGCACCAUCACUUCAUUGGUAUCUCUGUGUGUGACUUUAAACACCUGCCCGAAAAAUCCUGUACCCAGCAGUUCACCUUUUACUAGAUCACUGGCACGGAAUAUUCUUUGAUUCUUUGGUUCGACACGAAACGAUCUAGUCCUGCUUAAGUCACAUGUAGGAUUUGUAGUUGAAGAUCUGUGAAUACAUUAUAAAAAGUGCAGAUUAAAAUACAGGAUCCCUGGUUCUUCUCAAUUGUCUGCUGCGCGUUCCACUGAUGUAACCUUCAUCUCGGCGUUUAAAUAAACGUUCUUUAUUUUCGGGACUUGUUCUUGGACUGGCAAUCGAUGUCAACAUAGCCGCAGACGGCGAUGAAUAUGAUCAGAAGUAUUUGGAGGUAUUUCAACCAAUCUAAUGCUAUGUGGCUUUCUUGUGAAGGGACAAUUAGCUGUCCUGUUGAUCGGCUGCAUUUGCCUCUUGUAACAACUUCCACAAUAUAAUUUGGAUCUCUCGACCAAUGCAUAACUCUCUCCAUCUCCAAUGAAGGCUCCACAAGAAUUACAGGCAAAACAUUCUGGGUGAAAUUUGUGAUCUCCUGCCAACAUGACAGGACCCGUAAUGAUUUGGCCACAACCUUGACAAGCUUCACCAUAGGCAGCCCAAUAAUCAUCCUUACAGAAAAGAACGCGACACACCAGCGACAAAAUUUUUUCUCGGACAUUAAAUGACGAAUGAUUGGAAGUUGCUGCGGUUAUGAAAACAAACACAGCGCAGUCAGACGGAAAACAGAACGCGUCAGGGACGUGUAGUAGGAAGGAAACGUGAUUCACGGUUGACAUUAGCGUUGGGAAAGUGGUUAUCAACCAGCUGACAAUAAAUCAGCCAAUUGCAGUGCGACCGAGGCUUGUCAAUGAGAAAAAAGCAUCACCAAAAUUGUAAAAUGCUCGUCGGAGCAUUGUCCCCCUCGUUAAUAUACAAUCGAGAAGAUGCAGUCGAAACGAAUGCGUAAAUAAAGGUUCUGGAAGAGCGUGGGCCAACAGACUUGGAAGACAGGACGCCCACGCGAUCCAUGAAGGAUACAGCGUACACAGGAGAUCAUCGAUCAAUUCGUUUGUCGCGCUGUACUAUUUGAAACGUUGCAUAUAGCACACUACAAAUUCGGCCGGUUCGUCUAAAAAUAACACUCUAACUUUGCUGAAAAAGACGUACCGUUCGAUGAAACUUCAUCCAUCACAGCAUCUAGAACUGACACACUCCCACUCCGCACUUUGGUCGCUGAACAUGAAACGAGCAGAUUCGAAAUCCACUCUCGACAUUAUGGGCAUUGCAUAAUGGCGCGAAAUUUAAGAAUCAUACAGAAAGUACUCAACUUUAAAGCUUUAAAAGACUUAAAAAAGACUUUUGCUUAUCUAUAUUUAAAAUAUUUAAAAAUUUCAUUGUCAUUGCAGUGAAUGAUUAUAGGCUUGACUGUGCCUCAUUUGAGCUACAAUUCAACGCAUUUUUGUGUUGCGUGUCGAGUCUAUCUUGUUCUUAAGUAAUCACAGGCGGCGCUAAAACCUUUCUACCAUUUAAGUAUCAUUUCCAACAUUACCGAUUCAGCGUGGAAUAUGAUUACAACAUUGGUAGUGGUUGAAAUUGGAAUUAAAUUGAAAUGGAUACUCUACGAAAUUCGAAAUAAUGUCACUUUGAUUGAACCUCGCAUGACGGACUGUUUAUGAUUGCAUGGUCUUCAAUUAACUUGACAACAACGGAUCGUUCCUCGAAUAACUUCCGCAUCGGUCAGUAAUUUUUUCGAUAAAGGACGAUGGUCAGCAUUUUUUCAAAAUCAAUGCUUAUUGAAGAAUAAAAGAAGAAGUAAGGUAAAGAGGUAGUUGUUUAUUUUUCACAAUAUUCUUGGUCUUUGAUUUAACUCAAAUCAAUACAGAUGCAGUUUAUAACAUCUCAAAUAUAUCUUAAACUAGUUUUCGAUAACUUAUGAAAGUAUAUAAUUAUAUAGUGCCAUUCAAAGUUUUGCAAGAUUUCCAAGAUAAAUAUAAUUAUAGAGCAUCGUGCAAAAUUAAUAUUAUUUCCUUUAUGAUAUGUAAUAUACGUAUUCUUUGGGAGAUAUAAUAUGUAUAUAUAAGUAAUGUAAUAUAAGCAAUUAUUGUGUGCACAGAUUAAAAACUAAUAUAUCGUGAUAUUAUACGUACUAAUUAAAAACUAAUUAAAAAUUGUACUUACUAAUUAAAACUACUCCAUACAUAUCCAUCUCACAUUCACCGGUACAGUUUAAUCUCGAAAAUUCAGUUUGUU